CCUUUAAAACAGAAAGAGAUUUUGGGUCUCAAAUUCAAUGCCUGAAUUAAGCUCAGCUUUGGGGAGUUUUCUUUGUCAUUCCUUGAAAAGUAUGGCAAGUAUUUUGUAUGUUUUUUAGUGGACACUGUUCCUACAGAUUUGUUAUCGCAUAUUCUGAAGUACUUUUCUGCAUUUUUGCAGCUACCCAUGUAAAAUGAUCAAUUUAUUUUGCAUAAUAUGCCCACAAAUAAAAGCAAAAACUAAACGUUUUAUAAAUCAUCUGACAUUCCAACAGUGUGCUGUUUACUGACUUCAGAUGACUCAUUGUCAUAUUCAUUUGUUAGCUUGUUCAUCUAUUAAAUGUAACAUGCUCUACAACAAGUGACCCAUUUAAUUUUCAAUUCUAAUUGUGAUUUUUUGGAGCCUCCUAAUCCAUUUUUUUUCUAGUCUGAGUACCAAAGGUUAAUAUUUUAAAAUUAGAUGUCUCAACAGAAUUGGGUCAUAGUGACUGCUAAAUAAGCAAAGCAAUUACAAUUGUGCAGCUUUUAGCAUUUCUUCUACUAACUUUCCAUAAAUAAAAACUUUCCUCAAAGGUUUCAACAGUUUAAUUCUGAGCUAUCACUAACUAUAAAAGUUCUUCCCAAAUUCAAAUAAAUCUGAAGUUAUGAGUAGCAAGACAAUUACCAUAGAACUUUAUAGAAAUGUAAAUUUUUUAGAUUCUUCACUCAAAUUUGAAAACUUUCUGAUUACAUACAGACAAAGAACAAAAGCCCAAAGGACAUUCUUACAUCCGAUAUUCUUGCUGAUUAUUGCAUCUUGAUUAGCACAUAUUGAUGGAAUGUGAUCAUUGACACCAUUACAAAGCACACACUUUAAUAUUGUUUAAGAUUGUUGAUGUCUGGCAAGCUCUACAACAGCUUUAAUAUUUUAUAGUAAUAGUAUUGCACUGAUUUCUUCUAGGUACUUUUUUCCUUGUUAUUGAGCUUGUGGAUCUACUACAGGUUCUUUGCUAUUUGUGUCUAAUGACUUUAAAGAUCAGUGUGCCUUUCCUCUCAUUUUACACAUUUGUUUUUCAGCUCUUCCCCCUCUUUCAAGAAAGCCAGUGUAAAUAAAUGGUUUCUGAGGCCAUAAAGCCUGUGUGAAAUGUCUGAAUGACAAAGUAAUGAACAUUGUUUGUGGCUGGAGUCAACACAAGUAUUUAUUGCUAAGCAACAAAGACUGAUGUCAGCGAGUUUUGCCAAAUGCAGAUGAGAGAUGGAGGAAAAUAACAGGCCUCAAAGGAACUACCUUUCUGAACAAGCAUGUUUUUCUCAGUGCUUUCUUGGAGAAGGAAACAAGGAAAACUAAAUAGAAGUAGAUGGCAUUUUAUUUCAGAAAAUCAUCUCAGAAUAAUGUCAUCUAAAAACCCAAUAACUCAGGUAACUUGUCUGCUGCAGACUUUAUGUUUGCUGUUAGGCUCAUGAGCUCCUCUACAUUUCUCUGUGAAAGGUUUGAGAGAAAGGACGUCUAAUAAUCAGUUGCAACAAAUAUUUUUCUGCUGUUUCUUAUUGAAAUCUUAUUGACAGAGAUCUUCUUUGACACUCCAGACAGCCUCUGGAGGAAAUAAAAUACCACAAACAGA